CUGAUCCUAACUGUGGGAAGCCUCCAGCUGAUCUUCAUUAGUCUAUCUCGAAUUUGGUUGGAUGGUGAGUUUUCUCCUUAGCCCUCUUUAGAGAGGGUAAUGCAUUGCAACUGCUGGCUGCAUUGAGAUCUGUUUUACCUGUGCAGCAGUGGCACAAUGGCAGUUGGGGUGGUGUCAAGACUUUUCCUACUCUCUGCAAUGAGUUGGUACAGCUGUGGUAACCCAAUUAAAGGAGCAGUCAUACUGGUAGUUCUUUUCUGGUUUGGGACUGAGGCAGGUGGAAUCAUGGACACUGACCUGAUGUUGAGGGCUUUUCUUCUGUCUGCCAUGAUGUGUAGUGUCUAUAGCUUUCCAGCUAAAGGAUAUAAUGGCCAACCGCAGCCUGGUCAAGAUGGAAUGAAUCCUCUGUUUCAUCCAUAUCUUGACCGCUGGUUGCUGAAGCAUGGUUGGCCAUAUACUCCAAGCUCCACUGAUGAUCAGCAGUCCGGUCAACCUCCACCUCCGGCCCCGGGGCUGUAUACACAGUCCAGCCAAGAUGUGUCUCAGAUGACCCCCUCCGCUGAAGCCAAGGGCUCCAUGCCUCAAACUAGUUCUGGAUAUGGAGCUUUUGAUUCUAAUCAGCCACUUGAAGGCCAGUUUUAUUCCCCUGCACCUGUUAAAGGAGUUCCUCAAGCAAGCCCAAUGGAACAGUUUCCUGGUCCUGUUGACUCGUAUACAUCGUGGGUGUCUGAGCCUGAACAGCCCAGUCCUGAGAUUCUAGUUAUAGCAGGUCCACCACCUCCAUCUGAGCCCAUCUACAAAGCUGGGAAACUCAUUCAGAGGGUUGAUACUUAUGAACAUGGCAAUGAAGAAUCUGAGAUCCAUGAUUCUGGAGACCUGCUGUCUCGCCCUCCUUCUCUCUCAGCCGUCUCUGAGUACGGUGUCCCAGAGACCAGUAGUCAUGCGAGUCCACCCCAGGAGGAAUAUGAUGACCAGUUCUUUCAAAUGAUCAUCACUGGCCAACUUCCACCUGGUACAGUAACUCACUUCAGUUCCACCUACGAGCAUGGCAGCAAUGCCUGGACCGAGAUUGGCUUUGAGAGGAUUCCUCCCGCCCCUGUCAGCAAGGCUCCAGGUGGCUUGAGCAAAGUGCAGAAUGUUUCAAAGACCAACACUAAGGUUCCUCAAGGUUUUUCACAGCCCCCUCAGACACACAGGAAGUUUACUGCUGAAGCAGAAGCACCCUUAAAGCAAGCCUGGUGACGUGACCUCUUCUUUAACAGGGGUGACGACCGGAAGUAUCAG
rnacentral:lncRNA from 1 species